rnacentral:rRNA from 1 species
CCUACGGGGGGCAGCAGUGAGGAAUAUUGGUCAAUGGUCGGGAGACUGAACCAGCCAAGCCGCGUGAGGGAUGAAGGUACAGAGUAUCGUAAACCUCUUUUGUCAGGGAACAAAGGCGGGGACGUGUCCCCGGAUGAGUGUACCUGAAGAAAAAGCAUCGGCUAACUCCGUGCCAGCAGCCGCGGUAAUACGGAGGAUGCGAGCGUUAUCCGGAUUUAUUGGGUUUAAAGGGUGCGGAGGCGGUCUGUUAAGGUCGCGGUCAAAGCCCGGGGCUCAACCCCCGCCCCGCCGUUGAAACGGGCAGUCGCGAGUUGGAGAGAGGUAUGCGGAAUGCGCGGUGUAGCGGUGAAAUGCAUAGAUAUCGCGCAGAACUCCGAUUGCGAAGGCAGCAUGCCGGCUCCACACUGACGCUGAGGCACGAAAGCGUGGGUAUCGAACAGGAUUAGAUACCCUGGUAGUC